CGGAGGGAAACCGAGUCUUAAUUGGGCGUUAAGUUGCAGGGUAUAGACCCGAAACCCGGUGAUCUAGCCAUGGGCAGGUUGAAGGUUGGGUAACACUAACUGGAGGACCGAACCGACUAAUGUUGAAAAAUUAGCGGAUGACCUGUGGCUGGGGGUGAAAGGCCAAUCAAACCGGGAGAUAGCUGGUUCUCCCCGAAAGCUAUUUAGGUAGCGCCUCGUGAAUUCAUCUCCGGGGGUAGAGCA
rnacentral:rRNA from 1 species